rnacentral:lncRNA from 1 species
UGGACAUUUGGGUUGUUUCCAACUCUUGGGUGUUGUGAAUAAUGCUGCCAUGAACAAAGAUGUAUAGCUGUUUUGGUGCGUUUUGUAUGGCUAGAAACAAAAUCGCUAGAAUACAGAAUAAAUUCAACUUUAGAAGGGACAUGGAUGAACCUGGAUACCAUCAUUCUCAGCAAACUGACACAAGAACAGAAAAUCAAACACCUUAUGUUCUCACUCACAGGUGGGUGUUAAACAUUGAGAACACAUGGACACAGGAAGGGGAGCAUUACACACUGGGGUCUGUUGCGGGGGCGACUAGAGGAGGAACAGGGGUCAGGGAGUUGGGGAGGAAUAG